UUUCUUUUUCCCCGUAUGAUCAGUGCAAACUUUCCGGACCGUGUGCUGAUUGCAAAUUUUUUUUUGCGUUCUCGAUAUUCCGUCGCGAAACACUCCGUUGACGGUGGUUCCGAAUCGGUGAAUCCGUGUUGCUCGGAGCGAUACGCGAGUGGUGGCAAUUUUGUGUGUGGGAUAGUGUUCAAUUGAUUGACGAGCUAAGGAAAAUUCAAAAAAGAAUAAUAAAUGAAGGAAAUGUUCUCAACCCUUCCGCGAUGGGUUCGCGUGUCCGCGAUCGUUCUCGGUGUCGGUGUCGGAUCGGAAGUGUUCUACGAGAUGUACCGCGGCCUGAGAGCAUACUGUGCGGGACGUUCGGUUCGCCAACGGGCAACCCGAACCUUGACCGAGGUGUAUUUCGCGAACGAACGCAGCAUCGAAGGAUACACGGCCGGAACGUCGAUGACUAACUUUACGACGGAACACGUCCGCCGGAUUGUGGCCUUCCUGGACCGAGCCCGAGUUUCGAUCAAUCUGUGUAUGUACAUUGUGACGGUCGACAGUAUCGGGGACGCGGUGCUGCGGGCCGCGAAACGCGGUGUCCGCGUGCGAGUCAUCGGGUGCUCCACGAUGGCGUACAGCUCGGGGUCACAGAUGACCAAAAUGGUCCAAGGAGGAGUUCCGGUGCGUUUCAAUCGGAUGGAUGGAGCCUAUCUGAUGCACCACAAGUUUUGCCUCAUCGACACGGAUUGGCUCUGUGCGCGAUGUUACCACGCGGAGAAAGUGCGUCGAAGUGGUUUCUGUUGUGAUGCAACCGGUGGCGCCGGUGGUGACAGUGGUGCUACACAAGUCGCGAAUGGUGUCAGCAGAACCGGAAGAAGAGGUUCCACCAAAGCGCAGUGUCAGCUGGCCGAUGGCGUGGAUGGAUCGCCACAGCGAAGUAGUGGAUGUGUGCGGUGUGAUCAGCAGGUGAAAAGUGCGGUGCUAAAGUGUCGCCUGCAGGAGCUGGCUACCGAGCCGUUGCCCCUCGAGGGGAUGAUUAUCAGCGGGUCGACCAACUGGACGAUGCAGGCCCUGUCCGGCAACUGGGAUAACAUGAUCGUUACGUCGAUACCGGAUAUUGUGGUUCCCUUUCAGCUUGAAUUUCAACGGUUGUGGCAGGAAUUUGCCAGUGUUUCGCCAGUGAUUAGUGCCGGUGGUGAAUCGAGUGCGAAAAAUCAACAGUAGCAGCCGCAGCAAUAGAGAAUACGACGAGGAAUAUGAGAGUGUUGUACAGGGCGGCCUCGAUUAUAUACGAUUAUAUACAUAUAACCGAAUGAUUCGCCUAAAACCGGAUGACAACGAAGACGAAGAGACGACGGCUGGCAUUCCAUGACACAGCACUAUUUUAUAAGACAAAUCGACGACGGAUGCGACAGCGGAUGAGCCCCGAUGGGUUUGUGAAAGACAGAAAAAAAAACCCGAGAAAGGUAUUUUUAAGCCCUUAAACACUUCGAUAGGUCUUCUUUUUGAUUUCAUAAAAAAAAACUGUCGCAAACAUCCGCAGAGUGUUUUCAAAUGAAUUCAAAUAUAGCAAAAUACGAGACAAUGAAUAAAAAAAAAU